UGCGGGGGGCGUGAUGCAGGACUCCAUCCUGGGACUCUGGGAUCAUGACCUGAACCAAAGUGGACAAGCCCCUGGCACCUGGGCUCCAGCUGACUUCACGUGGACCCAACAGUGUUUUGUCGAUGUGCGUGCCGGUCACCUCUCAUCUCCCUGCUUGGGGCACCUCUGUGGGUACCCCCACGAGACCUGCCUGAUGCCCACCACGUGCAUGCUGGAGGUUCCACGUUGCAUUACGAAGAAGCACAUCCAGCAGAAAAGGAGACAUCAAACUCCUACCCAAAUUACACCAAUUGGAAAACAAAAUCCCUGUUUCUCAUCAUCCGUGUCAAACAUUUAAAACCACUCCGAUGAAAGUCAGCAAAGUGCCUGUUCACAUGUUUCUCUGUUUUUUGUGUUUAUGAAGAACCCCAAGCUCGGCUGCUUGUAGAGAGUAAGCUGGAAUUCCUGGGUUUCUUGAAAAAGGUGCAGAAGAGAAGGAGUUGUCUCCAGGGGGCAUGAAAGUCCGAGGUCUCGUUUCGCCCUCUCUAAUUUGUCUUCCUGGGCUCUUCUGCCUUGAGGCAUUUCUUUUGUGGCACUGGCACUCUGACGUGGGAGAGUGUGGUUGGAAGUUGUGGACAGACGCUGUGCUGAAGACCCACAGAACUGAAGAUAUCUGAGGAUGCUGCCUCUGGUCCUCAUUAGGGAGUCCUGGCUAGUUCACAUUUCUUCUUGAGGCCACGACCAUCCAGCUGUACAUGGAGAGACUCCCUCCUCUCCGCCCUCCUUUCAAGGCUGCCAAUGAUAAGACUUUGAACUAACUCUCGCUACAAAGGGCAUCAACCCCUCUCACAGCCCCCUCUGCUCCAUAGCGUCAGAAGAAUCCCCCCCAAGGAAGUGAGAGAAAACCAAGGACCAGUCUUGAAUUGAUUAUGUGUGAGAUGGAUAUUUCAAGGCUGGCCUCUCUAGCAAAAAAACUUCCACCCAGCUGGGUUCCACAUGUAGAAAAGAAGGGCCCUUUUAUAAAAUACCCGAUACAAGAUGUUGACCUUUCGGAAUCCUUUGGGCAGACCAUUUCAAAGGGUGGAUAUUGUCAAAGGUCACCUAAAAGUAGAAAAUGGUAAAUAGAAUUUAAUCAAAAAGGGCUGGAAGGACACCCUCGAACCAAGCCGAGGUGACAGACAAGGCCAGGACUGUGUCCAAUCUCCAGCUUUCACCUCUGACUCACACCACCCCAGAAGCAACUGCUCAUCUGAGCCCUGGGGGGUCAGGGGUACCACACAUUCAUGCAUUCUGCUCAAGCCCUGACCUUUCGAGCACUGGCCCAGGCUCUUGCCAGCUGCCUGACCAUGAACCGCACACCAAUGGUUUUUGGGUUUUUAGCUGGGGUCCAGUUGCCCAAAGGCUGCUCUUCAGGGUUUAUCCCUGUGACGGCUUUGCCUCCCCCUCCUCCGGGACACGUUCGACUCUCAGAAGCAGACAGAUGACUAAGAGCCUACAGGAUACUUUGCAAUUUCCUUUCCAUUCAAUUCGACACUUAUUUACCAAACACCUACUAUGCAUCCUACCGGGUUCCAGGAAUAUAGAUCUCCCUGAGACCGGGAAGCCAAGACACAGUUCGGUCUCAGAGCAGUGUUGGAAACAAACACAAUAAAAUAAACCACCACCACAAAAGCCUCAUUCCAGCCACCAAAAAUGUUGUUUCAAGCAAAUAUGUGUAUGGGAUUCUUGGGCAUCCCUAAGUAGGAUUCCAGGAUUCCAGUCCUUGUCUCCAAACACCCUCUUCUCUCAUCCUCCACACCCCACAGUUGUCCCAUGCCUCUUCCAAAUUCCCCCAAAACCCCUUCAUUGGGAUUCACCUCCAGGCUGCUUCUGCUCAUCCCUGGCCCUGCUCUAGGCUCUGUGGCUCCCGAGGGCCAGCUGGGCACCAGUGCGUAGAGCCACAGCUCUCUGCAGCUCGGCUUCAGGUGGGACAGGCAGCCACUGAGGCAGCAUGUUCUGUGCUUUGGGCCUGUUGUGCCCAAGAUUGCAAAUCCGAGAAACCACCAAGGAGCCGACACCGAUGCAAGCACAUGAGGGUUUAUUUACAAGCUCGAGCCUGGGUCCAAGGAUACUCCACACAACAGAG